CAGCAGCCGCGGUAAUACGUAGGUGGCAAGCGUUGUCCGGAUUUAUUGGGCGUAAAGCGAGCGCAGGCGGUUAGAUAAGUCUGAUGUGAAAGCCCACGGCUCAACCGUGGAGGGUCAUUGGAAACUGUUAAACUUGAGUGCAAGAGGGGAGAGUGGAAUUCCAUGUGUAGCGGUGAAAUGCGUAGAUAUAUGGAGGAACACCGGUGGCGAAAGCGGCUCUCUGGCUUGUAACUGACGCUGCGGCUCGAAGGCGUGGGGAGCAAACAGGAUUAGAUACCCGAGUAGUCCCUGUCUCUUAUAC
rnacentral:rRNA from 1 species